UACAGAGGGGGCUAGCGUUAUUCGGAAUUAUUGGGCGUAAAGGGCGCGUAGGCGGCCAUGCGUGUCUUCCGUGAAAUCCCUCGGCUUAACUGAGGACGUGCGGAAGAAACUGCAAGGCUUGAGUCCGGGAGAGGGGGGUGGAAUUCCUAGUGUAGGAGUGAAAUCCGUAGAUAUUAGGAGGAACACCGGUGGCGAAGGCGGCUACCUGGACCGAUAUUGACGCUGAGACGCGAAAGCGUGGGGAGCAAACAGG
rnacentral:rRNA from 1 species